rnacentral:rRNA from 1 species
UACGAAGGGGGCUAGCGUUGCUCGGGAUCACUGGGCGUAAAGCGCACGUAGGCGGCUUACUAAGUCAGGGGUGAAAUCCUGGAGCUCAACUCCAGAACUGCCUUUGAUACUGGUAAGCUCGAGUCCGGGAGAGGUGAGUGGAAUUCCGAGUGUAGAGGUGAAAUUCGUAGAUAUUCGGAGGAACACCAGUGGCGAAGGCGGCUCACUGGCUCGGUACUGACGCUGAGGUGCGAAAGCGUGGGGAGCAAACAGG